GAUCACAGAAUGCCUCAGGUUGGAAGGGAGCACAGUGGGUCACUGGUCCAACCCCCCUGCUCCAGCAGGGUCAUCCCAGAGCACAGGGCACAGGGUUG